rnacentral:rRNA from 1 species
GACGAACGCUGGCGGCGUGCUUAACACAUGCAAAUCGAACGGAAAGGCCCUGCUUUUGUGGGGUGCUCGAGUGGCGAACGGGUGAGUAACACGUGAGUAACCUGCCCUUGACUUUGGGAUAACUUCAGGAAACUGGGGCUAAUACCGGAUAGGAGCUCCUGCUGCAUGGUGGGGGUUGGAAAGUUUCGGCGGUUGGGGAUGGACUCGCGGCUUAUCAGCUUGUUGGUGGGGUAGUGGCUUACCAAGGCUUUGACGGGUAGCCGGCCUGAGAGGGUGACCGGCCACAUUGGGACUGAGGUACGGCCCAGACUCCUACGGGAGGCAGCAGUGGGGAAUAUUGCACAAUGGGCGGAAGCCUGAUGCAGCAACGCCGCGUGCGGGAUGACGGCCUUCGGGUUGUAAACCGCUUUCGCCUGUGACGAAGCGUGAGUGACGGUAAUGGGUAAAGAAGCACCGGCUAACUACGUG